rnacentral:rRNA from 1 species
AACGAACGCUGGCGGCAUGCCUAACACAUGCAAGUCGAACGAGACCUUCGGGUCUAGUGGCGCACGGGUGCGUAACGCGUGGGAACCUGCCUUUAGGUUCGGAAUAACUCAGAGGAAAUUUGAGCUAAUACCGGAUAAAUGUCUUCGGACCAAAGAUUUAUCGCCUUUAGAUGGGCCCGCGUUGGAUUAGCUAGUUGGUGGGGUAAAGGCCUACCAAAGGCGACGAUCCAUAGCUGGUCUGAGAGGAUGAUCAGCCACACUGGGACUGAGACACGGCCCAGACUCCUACGGGAGGCAGCAGUGGGGAAUAUUGGACAAU